rnacentral:rRNA from 1 species
GAUUAACGCGAAGAACCUUACCUACCCUUGACAUGGUCGGAAUCCCGCUGAGAGGUGGGAGUGCUCGAAAGAGAACCGGCGCACAUGUGCUGCAUGGCUGUCGUCAGCUCGUGUCGUGAGAUGUUGGGUUAAGUCCCGCAACGAGCGCAACCCUUGUCCUUAGUUGCUACGCAAGAGCACUCUAAGGAGACUGCCGGUGACAAACCGGAGGAAGGUGGGGAUGACGUCAAGUCCUCAUGGCCCUUAUGGGUAGGGCUUCACACGUCAUACAAUGGUCGGAACAGAGGGUUGCCAACCCGCGAGGGGGAGCUAAUCCCAGAAAACCGAUCGUAGUCCGGAUUGCACUCUGCAACUCGAGUGCAUGAAGCUGGAAUCGCUAGUAAUCGCGGAUCAGCAUGCCGCGGAGAAUACGUUCCCGGGCCUUGUACACACCGAAUCACUAGU